UGGUCUAUCCUUGCUUUGGUUGAUA
rnacentral:miRNA from 15 species